UGCUUGGGUAGCUCAGUUGGUAGAGCACUUGCCCGCAAAAGGCAAAGGUCCCGAGUUCGAGCCUCGGUCCGGCAC
rnacentral:tRNA from 1 species